rnacentral:lncRNA from 1 species
AUAAUUGCAUAACGAUGGUUGUUCGUUUGUUAUUAUUCCAUAAUAUACAGGCCAAAUCAUGGCUGACACCGACAGCAAGAAGAUCGAUCUACCAGACGGGCUAUGCGUUGAAAUAUCUCCUGACGGUUGUACAUACCACGAUGGUCUUUGCUUCCAUUGUUUGGUAACUGACGUCUACUACCCCACUAUGGAUGACUGCAAGAGCAAUUGCAACAAAUCCUCGUCUUUACAAGACGUGCUAGUUGCCAUGACAACCUCCCCUCCUCCUCCUUUAUCUGCUCCUUAAUUUUCCGGCCUAGACAAUGGUUAUAUGUACAAGAUUGUCCCCUGAAAAUAAUGCCUAUGUGCGGAAACCAGUUAUGCAAUGCGAGUAAUAUACUGCAGCAGUUGUUGCUGAGUAUUUUGGUUUGGCAAAUCACAUUUGAACCUUUACUAGGAAUUGUUGGGAGAGCGAUGAAAUGACUCGCAAGCGCAGAUGCUCCGGAAAUCCGAGUGGUACAGCUUAGCUUGGGAUCUGUGUCGGUUAAAUCUGUGUCACAUAUACGUUUUAGAAUACAGAGGUGAAUACAUCUGCAGAUGGGCUAUACUGGACCAUAGUACUAACUCCUCGCAAAGUCGCAAGUCUCCUCUCUUCAAGUCCAUCGAUGUCCCAUGCAAAAUAAAAUGAAAUAAGUCCAUCGAUCUCUCACUUAAAAAGAGUCCUAUGGCUGUGGAUGACCAGGGAGGCCGCCCUUGGCCAAUAUCCGGCACCGGUGAGUUCGUAUACCCUGUCAUGGUGGGUUUCUCAUCUAUCCUACCUCUCAUGAGGCGUCCGGUUCUUGUCUUUCCCAAGCUCACAUUAAUAUUCCCAAAUCAGCCAUCGGCCGGCCUUGGCGACAUCAUCUUCAUCCACUCCCGUGCUGCACACACCCAUUUCUCUGAUCUCUUAAAGCAACUCUAGCCGAGCCCAUAAAAGAUACAGGAGUAUUUGGCCGGGUAAACCUUAAUGGAGUAAAUUUAGUCCACUAAGUUUUGGUCGGUUCUAGCUGAUCCCCUAAAUUUAGCGGAGUAAAAUAAAAUUUGGUUAAGAUGAACAUAGAUUCGAUCUAAACAAACUUCUAAACUGAAAUUCGACACGUAAUUUACAUUAUCAUCCGUCGAAACAUAGUUCAAAGCGAUACUAAAACUUGAACUCAAACAUAAGCUAAAAUCUAAAUCUAACCAAAAAAAUUAGUCGCUAUUCGACUUUGCGAGGGAGAGCAAGUCCUCCCUAGAGAUUCCACCGCCCAUGGGGUCAGUCCCUAGGUCGUCUUUGUUGUAUCCAGGAAGGUCCUUCACCACUUAUCGAUGUUGAAGCUGUCAUCGUUGCCGCCUCCACUGCCACCAUUGUUGCCGCCUCCACCGAGCCAGCUCGUCAUCGACCAGCGCCCACGUGCAUCUAGGGAUCAUACAUUCAACAGGGGGUGACUCCAUGAGUCAGGUGAUCCACAAAAACCGCAUGAGCUAGAGUCCACCAUAUGGCUGUGUGCCCAAUAUCAUUUGUUGCUAAAGAAUGUAUGGAUAGAUGCCAAAGGAACAGCCUCACGUUUCCCGGCACUAGAACUUUCCAUAAACUUUUCCAUGAGCCCUCUUCAGCAGCCGAGGUGGAGGAACCAUCCCUUUGAUCUAAGCAUGACUAUUGGAGAAUUAAUUACAAUUAUGAAAUAUACAAAUAUAGACAUAGGAGAUAAGUCCAACCAAAUUUGGGAACUUGUCUAAAAAGGGAGAAAAUUAGUCUGACUUGAUUUGUGCUUUUAAUGAGGGUUCAUAUUAUAGGAUGAUAUUAAAUAAAUCCAAUUUUAUUGCUUGAUGGUUUACACGGGAUAAGGAUGACCAGUUCUCUCUUCUCUCAAUAUAUACGAUCGAUUCAUGUGCUCAUUGGUAACCAAACAUUUCUCAUCGACAACCAAAGUGACCUGAGAGCUUGCGUAGCUAGUGUUGUAUCUGGUUGGCCAUGGACAAGUACACGAUUCGCAUCCUUGCACUAGGAGCCCUAGUGUGUCUACAUCUCGUAUGCUCUGCUACUGUUGCUCAAUGUAAGGCAGCUAGCACACCGAUAUUUAUGUAUCUUCACAAUGCUUAAUUUUUCUUCACUUGUCCUGGCUGGAAGUAUGUACCUAGUAUAGCUAUCAAAGGCCUUUCUAUUUUGCUUUGUAACUGGUUCCAUCGUUUAUAUGCAUAUAUAUACAUACACACUACUCUAAAAUAAUUGCAUAACGAUGGUUGUUCGUUUGUUAUUAUUCCAUAAUAUAUAGGCCAAAUCAUGGCUGACACCGAUAGCAAGAAGAUCGAUCUACCAGACGGGCUAUGCGUUAAAAUAUCUCCUGAUGGUUGUACAUACCACGAUGGUCUUUGCUUCCAUUGUUUGGUAACUGACGUCUACUACCACACUAUGGAUGACUGCAAGAGCAAUUGUAACAAAUCCUCGUCUUUACAAGACGUGCUAGUUGCCAUGACAACCUCCCCUCCUCCUCCUUUAUCUGCUCCUUAAUUUUCCGGCCUAGACAAUGGUUAUAUGUACAAGAUUGUCCCCUGAAAAUAAUGCGUAUGUGCGGAAACCAGUUAUGCAAUGCGAGUAAUAUACUGCAGCAGUUGUUGCUGAGUAUUUUGGUUUGGCAGAUCACAUUUGAACCUUUACUAGCAAUUGUUGGGAGAGCGAUGAAAUGACUCGCAAGCGCAGAUGCUCCGGAAAUCUGAGUGGUACAACUUAGCUUGGGAUCUGUGUCAGUUAACUCUUUGUCACAUAUACGUUUUAGAAUACAGAGGUGAAUACAUUUGCAGAUGGGCCAUACUGGACCAUAGUACUCAGUACUCGCAAAGUCACAAGUCUCCUCUCUUCAAGUCCAUCGAUGUCCCAUGCAAAAUAAAAUGAAAUAAGUUCAUCGAUCUCUCGCUUAAAAAGAGUCCUAUGGCUGUGGAUGACCAAGGAGGCCGCCCUUGGCCAAUAUCCGGCACCAGUGAGUUCUUCUACCCUGUCAUGGUGGGUUUCGCAU